UUCUGUCCCUCUCCCAAUUUUAUCUGAAGAGCAGAUGCUGUGAGAAUGUGCUGGGCUGGCUCCCAGGUCAGGGAAGCACAUCUCUAAGAAAUCCCUUGAUUUCCAUGGACUGUCACGUGUUUUUGUGAAGCUGACCUGGGCCAGUGAAGAAAAGCCAAGCCAAUUCUAGAAUUCAGACACACCUGCCACUUCUGUAUUUGUCUCCUGCCAGUGACAGAAGCAUCUCCACUCACUCCUGCCACUCACUGCUUCCUCCCUGAGCACCUGAGGAGUGACCACGGCACCACCCAACUCCCAUGGCCUGAAAAGGAAGCAUUCCUGGAGUAUGACAUGCACAAUUCUUAUGAGGAUGACAGAGUUUGAUAAAGAAACACAGCAGCACUGGCACGAUGAAAAGUUAACUCUUCACCAAAGCAUAUUGUUUUCCUCAAGCUGUUGCAGCCAGCCUUACACACGCUCAGGUGAGAAGGAACUUGUUGCAUUAUCUGAAGCGGAAAACAUCCGGGUGCUCCCUCAGUUUUGGACGGAUCGCUCCCAGCUCUGCCACUGUCUCGGGCAAACAGGAGGCGAGUUUCUAACCGGGCACGCGGCCCCUCUCAGUCACGCCCGCGGUAUCCGCGCCUCGCCCCGCGUACCUGGCGGCGGCCGCCGUGGCCAUCGCCCUGCCGAGCGCCGCGCCGC